CGGGUGGCAGCAGUGGGGAAUAUUGGGCAAUGGAGGAAACUCUGACCCAGCGACGCCGCGUGCGGGAUGAAGGCCUUCGGGUUGUAAACCGCUUUCAGCAGGGAAGAAGCGAAAGUGACGGUACCUGCAGAAGAAGCACCGGCUAACUAUGUGCCAGCAGCCGCGGUAAUACAUAGGGUGCAAGCGUUGUCCGGAAUUAUUGGGCGUAAAGAGCUCGUAGGUGGUUCGUCACGUCGGAUGUGAAAAUCUGGGGCUCAACCCCAGACCUGCAUUCGAUACGGGCGAGCUAGAGUUUGGUAGGGGAGACUGGAAUUCCUGGUGUAGCGGUGGAAUGCGCAGAUAUCAGGAGGAACACCAAUGGCGAAGGCAGGUCUCUGGGCCAAUACUGACACUGAGGAGCGAAAGCGCGGGGAGCGAACAGGAUUAGAUACCCCAGU
rnacentral:rRNA from 1 species